ACUUUCUAAAGUACUGGUACCCUGUUCUUUUCUCAGGUUGCUGGAAUCGGAAUGACCAGGAUGCAGCCUGGAGCAGAAAACCACUGUACUAUGAAGUUUUAAAUCACACUUAUAAGACCUUAUUAUCACUUAAUAUUGAAAAAGUUUGCUGACCCCUUCUCUAGACUCAAGAAUGGAAUUUUGCAUUCAGAACCGGAUUGAGAAUUGAGAUUUAAAAGUAAGAUUAGGUGGAAGUAGUGGAGGGUUAAAUGUCUACCUCAUUUUCCAUCUC
rnacentral:lncRNA from 1 species